rnacentral:rRNA from 1 species
UACAGAGGAGCCAAGCGUUGUCCGGAUUGACUGGGCGUAAAGCGCACGCAGGCGGUUGCGCGCGUGGGGUGUGAAAUCUGGCCGCUUAACGGCCAGGCGCCAUCCCAUACGGCGCGACUGGAGUGAUGCAGAGGUCGAUGGAAUUGCCGGUGUAGUGGUGAAAUGCUUAGAUAUCGUCAAGAACACCGAUAGUGUAGACAGCUUACUAGGCUUCAACUGACGCUGAGGCACGAAAGUGUGGGGAUCAAACAGG